rnacentral:rRNA from 1 species
ACGGGUGAGUAACGCGUGGGUAACCUGCCUUGUACUGGGGGACAACAGUUAGAAAUGACUGCUAAUACCGCAUAAGCGCACAGUAUCGCAUGAUACAGUGUGAAAAACUCCGGUGGUACAAGAUGGACCCGCGUCUGAUUAGCUAGUUGGUAAGGUAACGGCUUACCAAGGCGACGAUCAGUAGCCGACCUGAGAGGGUGACCGGCCACAUUGGGACUGAGACACGGCCCAA